UUUUGUCAAACCUUGUUUGAGCAUGUUGAACUUAUGAUGAUCCAAUUGGACUUUUCCAAGUUGAUUUGAAUUGGAUUUGAAGUUUGGCCUUUAUUUGUUUAUUUUAAUUCAAGUAUUAUUUUAAUUCCAAAAAUACCAAAAAUAUUUUUAUUGUUUCUUGACUUCUAAGCUUCAUCUCACUUCUGUUUACCAUUGAUUAAUGUUGAUUCCAUUCAUGUUGGAUCAAUGUGUGUUGGUUAUGUCAUUUUGAAUUUCAAUUGUGUACAUUCCAUUUCUUCUUCU
rnacentral:lncRNA from 1 species